rnacentral:lncRNA from 1 species
UAUUACACUAUGCUAUAGAGAUAGAACCUCUAAUAUGGCGUGAAGGACCAAAUAUAGGGCCGCUUGUCUUGCUCAACCAGUUCUUCGAUGUUGUAACACACUUGCUUUGAACUCAGGCUUGGACCAUUUUUUCUGCGAACUGUCCCAAACAUUAUACGGGAUAGCCAACAGUCUCUUAUCGGAUCUCCUGCACCUCAACAGAUUAUUGGUGCAUUAGAUACUUGCUUACGAUUCCCACCUCCUACGAAUUUGGGUCUUAAGAUGUGACUGCCAUAUAGAGUGUUAUUGAAAAAAUAGAAGAAAAAAUAUUAGUCGAAAGUUACUCGAAAGUGUGGAAAUAGUUACUAAUAAACAAAACUAAUAAAAAUUCGGCAGAAUCUCUCCUAUACAAUGAAUAUAUACCCCCUAUAGAAUGGGUCCAUGUCUUUUUAAAAUGAUUUAAUAAAUACAAUAAUAAUACAAGUAUUAGUUAAAAUAAUUUAAACCUGAAACUCUUGCCAAUAAUACUUUCUGAUAGCCGGUGGCACUGUCUUCCAUGAAUGGCCAGCAGGAUCCAUUUUUUGUAGAAAAAUCUUUGAUAUGGUGGAUGAACAAGCAUUAGA